GAUGAACGCUAGCUACCGUCUUAACACAUGCAAGUCGAGGGGCAGCAUGGUCUUAGCUCGUUAAGAUUGAUGGCGACCGGCGCACGGGUGAGUAACACGUAUCCAACCUGCCGUCUACUCUUGGACAGCCUUCUGAAAGGAAGAUUAAUACAAGAUGGCAUCAUGAGUCCGCAUGUUCACAUGAUUGAAGGUAUUCCGGUAGACGAUGGGGAUGCGUUCCAUUAGAUAGUAGGCGGGGUAACGGCCCACCUAGUCUUCGAUGGAUAGGGGUUCUGAGAGGAAGGUCCCCCACAUUGGAACUGAGACACGGUCCAAACUCCUACGGGAGACAGCAGUGAGGAAUAUUGGUCAAUGGGCGAGAGCCUGAACCAGCCAAGUAGCGUGAAGGAUGACUGCCCUAUGGGUUGUAAACUUCUUUUAUAAAGGAAUAAAGUCGGGUAUGCAUACCCGUUUGCAUGUACUUUAUGAAUAAGGAUCGGCUAACUCCGUGCCAGCAGCCGCGGUAAUACGGAGGAUCCGAGCGUUAUCCGGAUUUAUUGGGUUUAAAGGGAGCGUAGAUGGAUGUUUAAGUCAGUUGUGAAAGUUUGCGGCUCAACCGUAAAAUUGCAGUUGAUACUGGAUAUCUUGAGUGCAGUUGAGGCAGGCGGAAUUCGUGGUGUAGCGGUGAAAUGCUUAGAUAUCACGAAGAACUCCGAUUGCGAAGGCAGCCUGCUAAGCUGNCACUGACAUUGAGGCUCGAAAGUGUGGGUAUCAAACAGG
rnacentral:rRNA from 1 species